GACUUGGUGCCCAUGUUGCCUCGGCAUCUCGGAAAGAUCUCAGCCCUCACACCCACAGUUGGACUUGUUGAUCCUGAAGGUCUUCUCCAACCAUAACGACUGUACAAUUCUAUGAUCCUUUGGGCUCUGAUGGCCAACAAGAGUCACUUGUGACGUGACACCUCCGUGGACAAGCAGAAAGCAAAGAACCCCAAGCAAGGGAGGGCGCUGGAGCCCACGGGGUCUCU